rnacentral:rRNA from 1 species
GACGAACGCUGGCGGCGUGCUUAACACAUGCAAGUCGAACGGAAAGGCCCUGCUUUUGUGGGGUGCUCGAGUGGCGAACGGGUGAGUAACACGUGAGUAACCUGCCCUUGACUUUGGGAUAACUUCCGGAAACUGGGGCUAAUACCGGAUAGGAGCUCCUGCUGCAUGGUGGGGGUUGGAAAGUUUCGGCGGUUGGGGAUGGACUCGCGGCUUAUCAGCUUGUUGGUGGGGUAGUGGCUUACCAAGGCUUUGACGGGUAGCCGGCCUGAGAGGGUGACCGGCCACAGUGGGACUGAGAUACGGCCCAGACUCCUACGGGAGGCAGCAGUGGGGAAUAUUGCACAAUGGGCGGAAGCCUGAUGCAGCAACGCCGCGUGCGGGAUGACGGCCUUCGGGUUGUAAACCGCUUUCGCCUGUGACGAAGCGUGAGUGACGGUAAUGGGUAAAGAAGCACCGGCUAACUACGUG